rnacentral:rRNA from 1 species
AACGAACGCUGGCGGCGUGCCUAACACAUGCAAGUCGAACGAGAAAGGGGCUUCGGCCCUGAGUAAAGUGGCGCACGGGUGAGUAACACGUAGGUAACUUGCCUCCAAGAUCGGGAUGACCCGUCGAAAGACGAGCUAAUACCGGAUAAGACCACGGCUUCUUCGGAAGCAGGGGUCAAAGAUGGCCUCUACUUGUAAGCCAUCACUUAGAGAUGGGCCUGCGCACCAUUAGCUAGUUGGUAGGGUAACGGCCUACCAAGGCAAGAUGGUUAGCUGGUCUGAGAGGAUGAUCAGCCACACUGGAACUGAGACACGGUCCAGACUCCUACGGGAGGCAGCAGUGGGGAAUAUUGCGCAAUGGGCGAAAGCCUGACGCAGCAACGCCGCGUGAGUGAUGAAGGCCUCGGGUCGUAAAGCUCUG